UACAGAGGGUGCGAGCGUUAAUCGGAAUUACUGGGCGUAAAGCGCGCGUAGGCGGCUUUGCCAGUCGGGUGUGAAAUCCCCAGGCUUAACCUGGGAACUGCAUUCGAGACUGCAUUGCUAGAGUAUGGGAGAGGGAAGUGGAAUUUCCGGUGUAGCGGUGAAAUGCGUAGAUAUCGGAAGGAACAUCAGUGGCGAAAGCGACUUCCUGGACCAAUACUGACGCUCAUGUGCGAAAGCGUGGGGAGCAAACAGG
rnacentral:rRNA from 1 species